AGUGAAUGCUGGCGGCAUGCUUUAUACAUGCAAGUCGAACGGAGAAGAAUUUUUGUAGCAAUACAGAAAGUUUUUUAGUGGCGAACGGGUGAGUAAUAUAUAGGAACUUACUCAAUAGUGGGGGAUAACAGUUGGAAACGACUGCUAAUACCGCAUAUUCCCGAGAGGGGAAAGGUAUUUAUAUCGCUAUCGAAGAGGCUUAUAUCUGAUUAGCUAGUUGGUGAGAUAACUGCUUACCAAGGCAAUGAUCAGUAGCCGGUCUGAGAGGAUGAUCGGCCACAUUGGGACUGAGAUACGGCCCAAACUCCUACGGGAGGCAGCAGUAGGGAAUAUUGGACAAUGGACGAAAGUCUGAUCCAGCAAUGCCGCGUGAGUGAUGAAGUGUAUGCAUCGUAAAGCUCUUUUAACUAGGGAAGAUAAUGACAGUACCUGUAGAAUAAGCACCGACUAACUAUGU
rnacentral:rRNA from 1 species